rnacentral:rRNA from 1 species
GCUAAAAAUCUAGCUCGCUCACUCGGAUGAAACUACAUAUCUAAAUAAAUAAACUAAAACAUUUUUAUAAUUUAGUACAGGAGAUAGAAUAAUUCAAUGAAGCAAUAUAAAUAGUACCGUAAGGGAAAGAUGAAAUAAAAAUGAAAAGCUCUAAGCACAAAAAAAUAGAGAUUAACUCUCGUACCUUUUGCAUCAUGGUUUAACUAGUCUAACCAAGCAAAAAGCAUUAUAGUUUGACUUCCCGAAACUAAGCGAGCUACUUCGGAGCAGCCUCCUGGGCACACCCGUCUCUGUUGCAAAAGAGUGGGAUGACUCCCGAGUAGCGGCGAUACACCUAACGAGCUUAGUGAUAGCUGGUUACUCGAGAAAUGGAUUUUAGUCCCGCCUAAAGCUUCCCCAACUUACACUAAAACCACAUCCCAAGCUUUAGAGUAAAUCAAAUAAGGUACAGCCUAUUUGAUACAGGAAACAACCUAAACUGAUGGGUAAAACAAUUUAUGUAUUAUCUUAGUAGGCCUAAGAGCAGCCACCUAAAAAAGCGUCACAGCUUUGCUAAACUAACCCUAUAAUACCACUUCAAAUUUUAAACCCUCUACUCCUAUCGAGUAAUUCUAUACUUUAUAGAAAUCUUUAUGUUAAAACGAGUAACAAGAAGCCAAACCUUCUCUUAAGUGCAAGCAUAAUUCAGACAGGAUAAACCACUGAUAAUUAACGCCCCUGAGCAUGUAUUAGUAACCUAACAAGAAAAACCUCAUAUUUUAUGCGUUAAUCUAACACAAGAGCACCCCAAGAAAGAUUUAAAGAAAAAGAAGGAACUCGGCAAAUACUAACCCCGCCUGUUUAUCAAAAACAUCGCCUCUUGCCUAAAAAUAAGAGGUCCAGCCUGCCCAGUGACACAUGUUCAACGGCCGCGGUAUCCUAACCGUGCGAAGGUAGCGUAAUCACUUGUUCUUUAAAUGAGGACUAGUAUGAAUGGCAUCACGAGGGUUAUACUGUCUCCUUUUUCUAAUCAGUGAAACUAAUCUCCCCGUGAAGAAGCGGGGUUAAAACUAUAAGACGAGAAGACCCUAUGGAGCUUUAAAUUUCCACUCAAAUGCUUACCAGUCUUUAAACUUCUUAGUAUAAUUAAAAACUAUCUUAACAUUAUGAGCCAGAAUUUUAGGUUGGGGUGACCGCGGAGUACAAAUUAACCUCCACAUUGAAACAGGCUUAUAAACCCUGAGCAACGGACAACAAUCCCAUGCACUAAAAAAAUAACAUCCAUUGACCCAAAUUUUUGAUCAACGAACCAAGUUACCCUAGGGAUAACAGCGCAAUCCUCUUCAAGAGUUCCUAUCGCCAAGAGGGUUUACGACCUCGAUGUUGGAUCAGGGUGUCCCAGUGGUGCAGCCGCUACUAAUGGUUCGUUUGUUCAACGAUUAAAACCCU